AUUGAAAUUAUUUUAUUAUUCAAGUAAGCAGACACAAACAAAACAGCGCUGGGCGGCUGGGGAGUCUCCGCUCCGCCACAGCACGCAACUUCCCUUUCCAGUGUCGCUGUUUUAUAGUAUUCAAGUUCUGGCCUGUCGAGGCGCUGCGCAGUCUGUUGUUGGGGGUCGUUAUUCUUCCUCCGGUGAUCACGCGUUGUGCUUGUGUUCAGUUUGCAGAUGGUGAAAGCUGAUGUAUCACCCUUCCUUGAUGUUUCCCACUGGGCACCAAGAAAUGAAAAGACAAAAAGCCAGGUCUGAAUGAGAUCAAUGGAGACAAAUUUAGCAAUGUUGUUUUUCCUCAACUUUUUAUUUAGCUAGAAUUUCAUAUUUCCUUCACGAAGUAUGAAAGACAGAAUCACUCCAAUGACAUGUUACAGGAAUUUCUGAACUACCAAAGGCU
rnacentral:lncRNA from 1 species